CCCCAUGAUGAGAUAACCCGGAUGAGCCAAAGUCGCAGAAGAAGGAGACGCAAGCAAUGGAGCCAACUCAAGCUCAGCCCAGUGCAGCCAACUCCAGAGAACCUGCAAACCCACCAGUGAAAAGAAAGUCUGUUCCCGAACUUCUUUCAUGACCUGAAGUGUGUAUUGUUCACACCCACAGGGUAAUCCACCACAUUUGUCAGAUUGCACCUCCUCCCGGCCGGUGAGCCACUUCUAGUCACUCAGCCCUGCCUGUGGCCCACAAGGACUUUGCCUGUGCUGAGAAGACAUCAGGUUUAUGGGAACACCGAGCAGGUGGAAUUUAGAGAGAUGAGGGGCCUUUGAAAGGCGUAAGGAAGCACAGAGAAGCUCAGUUGGCUGGACCUCCUGGGAGAGCAGAGAUGGGGAGCAGCUGCAUGCCCACCACGAUGCGAGGUGUGGUGCCACAUGCCCAGACUAGGCUGUUCCUUGUGACAUGAGGUGGACAUCACGUACAAGGCUCCUCCCUUCAUCCUGCCUACCACAGACAGGUGGGAAGCGUCUUUCCCAAAACCUUUGCUUCUUAUCACGCUUGCCUUACCCUCUGAAAUGAGGGCAGCAAACAGGGUUCGGAAUGAGUCUGACACAGCGGAAGGAGUCAAAGCCCUGGAGAAGAGCAUGAAUGGACUUGGAAAGGACAGACUGAAACGGCAGAGGCAUUUAUACAGGUCUCCCCUACCUCUCAGAACAAAACAAUUCUGAGAUAAGAGAGGCAUGGGUGAGAGGAAAUGCUUCCAUUUUUCACAUCGCAAGCUGGAGAGAUCCAAUAGGCUGUUUAUGAAGAACAAUAAAAAAGAUACAUGAACCCAGUAAA